GACUGCUGGAGCGCUUAGAAGUGAGAAUGCCGGUAUGAGUAGCGAAAGACAGGUGAGAAUCCUGUCCACCGAAUGACUAAGGUUUCCUGGGGAAGGCUCGUCCGCCCAGGGUUAGUCGGGACCUAAGCCGAGGCCGACAGGCGUAGGCGAUGGACAACAGGUUGAUAUUCCUGUACCCGUUGUUUUUGUUUGAGCAAUGGAGGGACGCAGGAGGCUAAGAAGUGCAGACUGAUGGAUAUGUCUGUUCAAGCAGUAAGUCUUGGUAGGAGUCAAAUGCUUCUACCUAUACGGACAAGCUGUGAUGAGGAGGGAAAUAAUAGUACCGAAGCUUCUGAUGUCACACUGCCAAGAAAAGCUUCUAGUGAGAAAACAACGGCCCGUACCGCAAACCGACACAGGUAGUCGAGGAGAGAAUCCUAAGGUGAGCGAGAGAACUCUCGUUAAGGAACUCGGCAAAAUGACCCCGUAACUUCGGGAGAAGGGGUGCUGCUCUAACGAGCAGCCGCAGUGAAUAGGCCCAAGCGACUGUUUAUCAAAAACACAGGUCUCUGCAAAAUCGAAAGAUGACGUAUAGGGGCUGACGCCUGCCCGGUGCUGGAAGGUUAAGAGGAGU
rnacentral:rRNA from 1 species